rnacentral:rRNA from 1 species
CCUGGCUAGGACGAACGCUGGCGGCGUGCCUAAUACAUGCAAGUCGAACGGUCUUUCUAUGGAAGCUUGCUUCCACUGAGAGGAUAGUGGCGAACGGGUGAGUAACACGUGGGUAACCUGCCCAUAAGAGGGGGAUAACAUCCGGAAACGGGUGCUAAUACCGCAUAGUUUUCUUGAUCGCAUGAUUGAGAAAGGAAAGACGGCCUUUGUGCUGUCGCUUAUGGAUGGACCCGCGGCGUAUUAGUUAGUUGGUGAGGUAAUGGCUCACCAAGACGAUGAUACGUAGCCGACCUGAGAGGGUGAUCGGCCACAUUGGGACUGAGACACGGCCCAAACUCCUACGGGAGGCAGCAGUGGGGAAUCUUCCGCAAUGGACGAAAGUCUGACGGAGCAACGCCGCGUGAGUGAAGAAAGGUUUUCGGAUCGUAAAACUCUGUUGCCAGAGAAGAACAAGUUGGAGAGUAACUGCUCCAGCCUUGACGGUAUCUGACCAGAAAGCCACGGCUAACUACGUGCCAGCCGCAGC